CGUACACUCAGGGAUAGCCUUUCGAAAGAAAGAUUAAUACCUGAUGGUAUGAUGAGAUUGCAUGAUAGCAUCAUUAAAGAUUUAUCGGUGUACGAUGGGGAUGCGUUCCAUUAGGUAGUAGGCGGGGUAACGGCCCACCUAGCCAACGAUGGAUAGGGGUUCUGAGAGGAAGGUCCCCCACAUUGGAACUGAGACACGGUCCAAACUCCUACGGGAGGCAGCAGUGAGGAAUAUUGGUCAAUGGACGAGAGUCUGAACCAGCCAAGUAGCGUGAAGGAUGAAGGUCCUACGGAUUGUAAACUUCUUUUAUAAGGGAAUAAACCCUCCCACGUGUGGGAGCUUGUAUGUACCUUAUGAAUAAGCAUCGGCUAACUCCGUGCCAGCAGCCGCGGUAAUACGGAGGAUGCGAGCGUUAUCCGGAUUUAUUGGGUUUAAAGGGAGCGCAGACGGGUCGUUAAGUCAGCUGUGAAAGUUUGGGGCUCAACCUUAAAAUUGCAGUUGAUACUGGCGUCCUUGAGUGCGGUUGAGGUGUGCGGAACUCGUGGUGUAGCGGUGAAAUGCUUAGAUAUCACGAAGAACUCCGAUUGCGAAGGCAGCACACUAAUCCGUAACUGACGUUCAUGC
rnacentral:rRNA from 1 species